rnacentral:rRNA from 1 species
UACAGAGGGGGCAAGCGUUAUUCGGAAUUAUUGGGCGUAAAGGGCGCGUAGGCGGCCUGGCAAGUGGAAGGUGAAAUCCCUCGGCUUAACCGAGGAACUGCCCUCCAAACUGCUUGGCUUGAGACCGGGAGAGGUGAGUGGAAUUCCCAGUGUAGCGGUGAAAUGCGUAGAUAUUGGGAGGAACACCAGUGGCGAAGGCGGCUCACUGGACCGGUACUGACGCUGAGGCGCGAAAGCGUGGGGAGCAAUCGGG